GGCGAACGGGUGAGUAAUGCAUCGGAACGUGUCCUCUGUGGGGGAUAACCAGUCGAAAGACUGGCUAAUACCGCAUGAGAUCGAGAGAUGAAAGCAGGGGACCGCAAGGCCUUGCGCGAGAGGAGCGGCCGAUGCCGGAUUAGCUAGUUGGUGGGGUAAUGGCCCACCAAGGCGACGAUCCGUAGCUGGUGUGAGAGCACGACCAGUCACACGGGCACUGAGACACGGGCCCGACUCCUACGGGAGGCAGCAGUAAGGAAUAUUGCGCAAUGGACGACAGUCUGACGCAGCGACGCCGCGUGGGGGAUGAAGGUCUUCGGAUUGUAAACCCCUUUCGGGUGGAAAGAUGGCUCUCGACAACGAGAGCGGACGGUACCACCAGAAGCAGCCACGGCCAACUUCGUGCCAGCAGCCGCGGUAAUACGAAGGUGGCAAGCGUUGUUCGGAUUCACUGGGCGUACAGGGUGUGUAGGCGGUUCGGUAAGCCCUCUGGGAAAGCUCCUGGCUCAACCGGGAAAGUUCAGGGGGGACUGCCGGGCUAGAGGACGGGAGAGGAGCGCGGAAUUCCCGGUGUAGCGGUGAAAUGCGUAGAUAUCGGGAGGAAGGCCGGUGGCGAAGGCGGCGCUCUGGAACGUACCUGACGCUGAGACACGAAAGCGUGGGGAGCAAACAGGAUUAGAUACCCCUGGGUAGUCCACGCCCUAAACGAUGGACACUACGUGUC
rnacentral:rRNA from 1 species